rnacentral:rRNA from 1 species
AAGGGCACCACAAGAACGCGUGGAGCAUGUGGCUUAAUUUGACUCAACGCGGGAAAUCUUACCGGGUCCGGACAUACUGAGGAUUGACAGGCGCUUGUAGUUUUUCUUUUUGUUUUCGUACUUUCGGGUACUUAAACUUUAAGAGACUCUGCAGUAAAUAUGCUAGUCCUUUCAUGAUUGUGUGAUAGGUGGUGCAUGGCCGUUCUUAGUUCGUGGAGUGAUCUGUCUGCUUAAUUGCGUUUCACUAAGGAUCUUUAAACGUCGCCUGUUGCGCUUGUAUGUUAGCUUUCGGGCUUUCGUGCUUGUGCACGGUGACUAAAAGAUCUUGAAGGCAACGAACGUGACCGCAUCCUCUUGUUGCUACAUUCCCAAGAAUGGGUACUAUUGAUUGGUUUUUUUCUUUCCUUCACGGGUGAGUUAAUUUCCAUGUUAGUAUUCCACUUUCUUCAUUGUAUGCAAACUAGGGGGACCGCUGACAACUUUUUUAAACAGAGGAAGGUUGCGGCAAUAACAGGUCUGUGAUGCCCUUAGAUGUUCCGGGCUGCACACGUGCUACAAUGAUUAUUGCAGUGAGCAUCUAUUUUUUAAAAAGUCUGUAGGGCUUUUGGGUGGGCUUGCUUGCUUGUUUCCUUCGGGUUUCAGGUUUAGCUUGUCUAUUUUCCCAAUUGUUUCCCUCGGCGAACCUACUUCGAAAGUAAGUAGGUAAUCAAUUCGAAGUAAUGAUUUCCACCCGCACAUACACAGUCUCUUGUUUGGCUCGUAUUAUGGCUUUUCGCACUUCGGUGUGUUAAGUUUCAUUUACGUUGUUUCCAUACUCGAUGACAUGUGCUCCAUUAAUUCAUGGUGGGGACAGACCAUUGAUAAUUGUUGGUCUCGGUCUCAACUAGGAAUGCCUUGUACGGGUCUUUGGUUCAACAAACCACCCGGAAUAUGUCCCUGCCCUUUGUACACACCGCCCGUC